GUUUAAGCAAGGAGAUUAUUGUUUGAAACAGAGAGUGGUGUGUCCCAGAACUUGGUUAUUUAUUGGUUGCAAUGGUUACGAAAAACAAUUAUUCGCUCCGUCUUGGAAAUCAUCAUUGUAGAACAUUAUUGAUGUCGUGGCUUUUGGUAAAUGACAAAAGGCAGCUUGUUCUUAUCACGAAAGACAGCUCUUCAGUAAGGCUGUAGUGUUGCAGAUGGACCUUCACAGUCAACUUCGUCACAUCUUUGAUAUUGGAAUAGUUCAAUUUGAAACUUUGAAAUGCUUAAAUCUCGUGGUCGACUUCCAGCAACUUGGAUGAUUUUUGGGCCAUCGAACAAUUCAUACAAGCCAUUGUAAAUAAAGAGCAUCAUCCAUUUUUAAGGGUUCCUGUACGGUCCCAUGCAUUGGCUAAAGAAUACGUGAACAGAGUGGAAGACAUAAGAAAACAAAAUCUAUAGUCCUGGAAUGAAUGCUGGUCGGCGAAGCAACAGUGUGAAUUAAACGAAGCUCCAAAAUGAGUUUUUUCAUUUGUUUUAUCCUUUUAUCCCAAAGUUAUUAUAUCAC